GGCAGACGGGUGAGUAAUGCAUAGGAAUCUACCUAGUAGUAUGGGAUAGCCACUAGAAAUGGUGGGUAAUACUGUAUAAUCCCUGCGGGGGAAAGAUUUAUCGCUAUUAGAUGAGCCUAUGUUAGAUUAGCUAGUUGGUAGGGUAAAGGCCUACCAAGGCAGUGAUCUAUAGCUGGUCUGAGAGGAUGAUCAGCCACACUGGAACUGAGAUACGGUCCAGACUCCUACGGGAGGCAGCAGUGGGGAAUAUUGGACAAUGGGCGCAAGCCUGAUCCAGCUAUGCCGCGUGAGUGAGGAAGGCCUUAGGGUUGUAAAACUCUUUCAGUGGGGAAGAUAAUGACGGUACCCACAGAAGAAGUCCCGGCAAACUCCGUGCCAGCAGCCGCGGUAAUACGGAGGGGGCAAGCGUUGUUCGGAAUUAUUGGGCGUAAAGGGCAUGUAGGCGGUUCGGUAAGUUAAAG
rnacentral:rRNA from 1 species